GAAAAUGGCUGGAGAAAGGUCAAAUUUUCCCGCAACCUCACAAUCCUUCUCAGAGUUAGUGCAGCGCAGUUAGCGGCACGCCAAAUUUACAAGCCAGGAGAGUUUGACAUCAGUGGGAGUCGUCUCAUAAAGGAGCGUACAACGUGACUCCAGAAGAGAGACGUGAAUUCC
rnacentral:lncRNA from 1 species